CGUAGGGUCCGAGCGUUGUCCGGAGUUACUGGGCGUAAAGCGCGCGCAGGUGGUUCCCUAAGCCCGGCGUGAAAGCCCCCGGCUCAACCGGGGAGGGUCGUCGGGGACUGGAGAACUUGAGGGCGGCAGGGGCUGGUGGAAUCCCCGGUGUAGUGGUGAAAUGCGUAGAGAUCGGGGGGAACACCCGUGGCGAAGGCGGCCAGCUGGGCCGACCCUGACACUGAGGCGCGAAGGCGUGGGGAGCGAACGGGAUUAGAUACCCCGGUAGUCCACGCAGUGAACGAUGCCGACUGGGCGUGGGGGGACUUGACCCCCUCCGUGCCGGAGCCAACGCGGGAAGUCGGCCGCCUGGGGAGUACGGCCGCAAGGCUA
rnacentral:rRNA from 1 species